rnacentral:ncRNA from 3 species
UACGAAGGGGGCUAGCGUUGUUCGGAAUUACUGGGCGUAAAGGGCGCGUAGGCGGUCCUGAUCGUCGGAUGUGAAAGGCCUGGGCUCAACCUGGGAACUGCAUCCGAUACGGCGGGACUGGAGUGUGGGAGAGGUUGGUGGAAUUCCCAGUGUAGAGGUGAAAUUCGUAGAUAUUGGGAAGAACACCGGUGGCGAAGGCGGCCAACUGGACCACAACUGACGCUGAGGCGCGAAAGCGUGGGGAGCAAACAGG